AAACCAACCAUACUUGUAGUCGCCCACAAUUGGAGUUCCAAGGGCUUCAGCACAAUGAACUCGAAGCUGAUGUUUUCUACUUGUAUGAGGGCGCAACUCAAUCCAUGAGCAUCCAUUGAUCAUUGGACCAAGCAGUCGAUAUUCGGUAACAGCCUCAUCAGAAGCUUCUAAUCCCGACUGUUGAGCCAACAUGACUCUCUCAGUUCUACCAUCAUCAAGAAGCACCUUUGUAAGUG
rnacentral:misc_RNA from 1 species